GGGAGCCCGAGAUACCUUUGAGAGCUACUACCGGAAGCAGAGAAGAAAGCAGGCCCGGCUGGUUCUGCAGCCCCCCUCUAACAUGCAUGAAACCCUCUCCGGCUACCGGAAGUAUUUUAAUCAGAUUGUAGGGUUUUUCGUCAUCGAGGAUCACAUCCUGCACACAAGCCAGGGUUUGGUGGACAGAGCCUACAUCGAUGAGCUCUGGGAUAUGGCCCUGUCCAAGACCAUCGCGGCCCUCCGGACACAUUCG